rnacentral:rRNA from 1 species
UACGGAGGGUGCAAGCGUUAUCCGGAUUCACUGGGUUUAAAGGGUGCGUAGGAGGGCAGGUAAGUCCGUGGUGAAAUCUCCGAGCUUAACUCGGAAACUGCCGUGGAUACUACCGGUCUUGAAUAUCGUGGAGGUGAGCGGAAUAUGGUCAUGUAGCGGUGAAAUGCUUAGAGAAUGACAUAGAACACCCAUGCGAAGGCAGCUCACUACCCUGAAUAUUGACUCUGAGGCACGAAAGCGUGGGGAUCAAACAGG